rnacentral:lncRNA from 1 species
CGGAGAGCCAGCUAUGUGCCUGGAAAUCUGUCAAGUUCAUUGAAUAUGAUGACCACUACGGGCAACUCUCCAUCUAUCCCUCCUGAUUCCUUUAUGGACAACUCUCCAUCUAUUCCACCUGAUUCCUCUAUGGACAACUCUCCAUCUAUUCCGCCUGAUUCCUCCAUGGGCAACUGUCCAUGUAUUCCACCUGACUCCCAGCUAGGCUGCAUCCUCCACCAUUGGAAUCAAUUUGACCCUGACAACCUAAAAAGAAAACUGUGAUGAUUAAUACUGAGUGUCAACUUGAUUGGAUAGAAGGAUGCAAAGUAUUGAUCCUGGAUGUGUCUGUGAGGGUAUUGCCAAAGGAGAUUAACAUUUGAGUCAGUGGGCUGGGAAAGGCAGACCCACUCUUAAUCUGGGUGGGCACCAUCUAAUUAGCUGCCAGCAUGGCUAGAAUAUAAAGCAGGCAGAAAAACAUGAAAAAACUAGAUUGGCCUAGCCUCCCGGCAUACAUCUUUCUCCUGUGCUGGAUGAUUCCUGCCUUUGAACAUCGGACUCCAAGUUCUUCAGUUUUGGGACUCACACUGGCUUUCCUUGUUCUUCAGCUUGCAGACAGUCUAUUGUGGGAUGUGGUGAUCGUGUGAGUUAAUACUACUUAAUAAACUCAUACGUAUAAUAUAUAUCAUAUAUAUGAUAUAUAUGAUAUAUAUAUCAUAUAUAUGAUAUAUAUAUGAUAUAUAUAUAUCAUAUAUAUAUCAUAUAUAUAUAUUCUAUUCAGUCCCUCUACAGAGCCCUGACUAAUACAGAUUUUGGUACCAGGAGUGGUUCUAGAAGAGCAGAAUAUUAAGGCUGGAGUUCUUUCAUUGGUUUUGGGGUUUCUGGAGUUGGCUGCUUAAUAUGAUUAGACCCAAAAAUGCUAAGGACUCUACUUCUAAUAGUAUAGAGAACACUAAUAGUCCUUGGCAUAAACCAUUUAGAGAGUUAUGCAAAAUAAAUGCAUUUGAAAAUCCUGGUUCACUGCUCAUGAGAAGCAAGGAAUUUAGCAACUCUGUACAUAAUACCUUUGAUCGUAUGUGGAAAACCAAGGAACAUAAUAAAGCUGGUCGGUUGCUCCUAAGUUCACUGAAUAAAGUGAUGAAAGAAAGUAAUGAACUCAGGGAUUCUAACUCCCUCCCAGCUUCAGAAGCAGAUAUUGAGCCUCAAAUCUGCUAAGAUUGCCCUGAGUGAGAGUCUUAUCUUCUGUAGAGAAAUAGCUGAAACUAUGGAAAAACAGACACAAGUCCUUAUCAUGUGAGUGGCUGACCUGCAACGAAAAGUGCAUGCACACACUCGCCAGGUGCCUACUGUUAAAGUGAGGGCAUUGACUGGAAAAGAAUAGGAUCCUGCAAGUUGGAGUGGGGACAUGUGGGAGGACCCUGAUAAAGCUGGGGACACUGAACUUGUAUACUCUGAUGAAUGUUUUUUGCCGGAAGAAACAGCUUGCCUAUCCCCAGUAGUGGCAACUACUGGGAUGUGAGAUAGUGGUGGAAGGAGCAUAGAGUUGGAUCAGGCUAAAUUUAUUGAUUUGGGCCCACUAAGUAGGGACUCUGCAUUUAAUGUUGCAGCUUGGGGAGUUAAAAAAGGUUCUAACAGUUUAUUUGCUUGAUUAGCUGAAAUAUGGAUUAAAACGUGGCCCACUGUGAGUGAGCUAGAAAUGCCUGAGCUCCCUUGGUUUAAUGUAGCGGAAGGGAUCCAAAGACUUAGGAAGAUUGGAAUG